CCUACGGGAGGCAGCAGUAAGGAAUCUUCCACAAUGGACGAAAGUCUGAUGGAGCAACGCCGCGUGCAGGAUGAAGGCUUUCGGGUCGUAAACUGCUUUUAUAUGGGAAGAUUAUGACGGUACCAUAUGAAUAAGGACCGGCUAACUACGUGCCAGCAGCCGCGGUAAUACGUAGGGUCCAAGCGAUAUCCGGAAUUACUGGGCGUAAAGCGUGUGUAGGUGGAUUAAUAAGUGUGAUGCGAAAUCCGGCGGCUCAACCGUUUGGACUGUGUCGCAUACUGUUAGUCUAGAGGACGGCAGAGGUAAGUGGAAUUACGGGUGUAGCAGUGAAGUGCGUAGAUAUCCGUAGGAACACCAAUGGCGAAGGCAGCUUACUGGGCCACACCUGACACUGAGACACGAAAGCGUGGGGAGCGAACAGGAUUAGAUACCCUGGUAGUCCACGCCGUAAACCGAUGCAUACUAUUAGUAUGGGGUAUCGACCCCCGUGUGCUGAGAAGCUAACGCGAUAAGUAUGCCGCCNGGGGAGUACGAGCGCAAGCUUAAAACUCAAAUGAAUUGACGG
rnacentral:rRNA from 1 species